GACGAACGCUGGCGGCGUGCUUAACACAUGCAAGUCGAACGGUAAGGCUCCAGCUUUCUGGGGUACACGAGUGGCGAACGGGUGAGUAACACGUGGGUGACCUGCCCUGCACUUCGGGAUAAGCCUGGGAAACUGGGUCUAAUACCGGAUAGGACCAUGGUGUACAUACUGUGGUGGAUAGUAGUUUCGGAGUGGGACGGGCCCGCGGCCUAGCAGCUUGUUGGUGGGGUAAUGGCCUACCAAGGCGGCGACGGGUAGCCGGCCUGAGAGGGUGGACGGCCACAUUGGGACUGAGAAGCGGGCCAGAGUCAUACGGGAGGCAGCAGUGGGGAAUAUUGCAAGAUGGGCGGCAGCAUGAUGCAGCGACGCCGCGUGGGAGAUGACGGCCUUCGGGUUGUAAACUCCUUUCACCAUCGACGAAGGGUUUCUGACGGUAGAUGGAGAAGAAGCACCGGCUAACUACGUG
rnacentral:rRNA from 1 species